UACGGAGGGUGCAAGCGUUGUCCGGAUUUAUUGGGUUUAAAGGGUGCGUAGGCGGCUUAUUAAGUCAGCGGUGAAAGACUUCGGCUCAACCGGAGCAGUGCCGUUGAUACUGGUUAGCUUGAGUGCUGCAGGGGUACAUGGAAUUGAUGGUGUAGCGGUGAAAUGCAUAGAUACCAUCAGGAACACCGAUAGCGAAGGCAUUGUACUGGGCAGCAACUGACGCUGAGGCACGAAAGCGUGGGGAUCGAACAGG
rnacentral:rRNA from 1 species